CCCUAAUUAAAUACACCCUUCUAGGCCAAACAGAACCUUAUUUUCAUAACAUAAAAAAAAAACUUUCAAAAACGGAUCUUUGGGUUCCCCCAUCAAUAAAAAACCCACCAAAUUGCAAUACUUAAAAUGACUUGCAAACUUGAAUCAUUGAAUCUUUGAACCCCCUUUGCUUCUGGGGGUUUCCCCCAAGGCAGGCAAUAAUAAGGGGGGGUUCCCCCAGGCCCUGGGUUUGGUUUUUUUACAAUUCAAAAAUUUCAAAUUUAUUUUUCCCCCCCCCCCCCCUCCCCCCCAAAACACCCCCUUAAAUUUAACGCAUAUCAAUAAGCGGAGGA
rnacentral:rRNA from 1 species